UAGGGUCAGCGACUGGCACUAAGUCGUAACAAGGUAGCUGUAGGUGAACCUGCAGAAGGAUCA
rnacentral:rRNA from 1 species